GAUCCGAGUAGCAUCUUGGCGGGGCAAUAUCCAGGUUGCAUAGUUCUCACUCUGCAACCGUGUGUUGCAGCCAUGGCUUUACCCGUAGUUGUGUUCAUCUCUCAAUUACAUGUCUGAGUCUUCCAGAUGUUUUGAUAAGCAAAUGAGCAGGUGGUGUAUCGAAAUCAAUCAGCUAUAGUUUGAUGUUUAUUGUCUGGUACAACCAGUUGGCAACUAUUAUGCCUCGGGUUAUUAAAAAUCAUAAAAUGCCCAUUUUAGCUGUUAAAAUCCUAAAAAUAUUAAUAGCUUUGGCUAUUAACCCAUGUCUUUUAACAAUAUCUGAUUUCAAAGAAUGCUUUGAUUGUGUAUGACGACAUAGGUUGAACUUUAACAGAUAAUACAGUUGUAUGACGACAUGGCUGUCUUUUAUUCUCUUAUUCACUAUUUUUUUAGGAAAAGUUCAAGAAAUUUGGUAACAUCAAGCAAGAUGGUAUUGCCAUCAGAACCCGAAAGGUUAAUGCUAUUAACUGUUUUUUUUUAUUUAGAUCUGAGCAACAUUUGUCGAGAAAAGCUUUGGUCGCCGUUUCACUUUACCAGCUAAUUUUCAUGUCUGAACUCGACCUCCAGAUUCCCUCUGCUUUUGACCCGUUUGCUGAAGCUAAUGCUGAGGAUUCCGGUCUGGGUCAAAAGAGUACGUUCAUAUUCGUAUCCUGCAACGCAAUGGUAGGAAAAGCUUGACAACUGUGCAGGGUUUAUAAAAAGAUUAUAGUUACAAUAAGAUUUUGAAGGACCAGAAGAAAGAAUUCUGCUGCAAUGGCACUGUUGUUCAGGACUCUGAACUAGGCCAGGUUUUAAUUGUGAUUCUUGCUAUCGAUCAUGUCGGGUUAGUGGGUUGGCGGUUGGAAUGUGCAACCUCAUUCCAACCUAAACCCGACCCAUAUUGUUAUUCAUGUCAUAGAUUUCAACCUAACCAGCACACACAUAAAUACGAGUCAACUCGAACACUGACCUGUUUUCAUAAAAAACUCAUACAUGUUGUUGACGAGCUAUAAGCAGGUUAUUGGGUUGUAAGCGGGUUAUUGAAAAUGUGUUUAAUGGUGAGUAUGAGUGUGACAAGUAAAAAUAUGGUGUGUCAAAACUAACAAUAUUAUAACUAACCAUGUAAAUGGAAAACGGAAAAAACAAAAACAAGAAUACAAAAGUUUUUUUUUUCUAAAUACUUAAACGGGUUAAUGGGUCAACCCGCUUUUUAUACGGGUCAACCCAAACCUGACCUGUUUUGAUACGGGUCAUCCCGAACCCGGUCCGUUUUUUAAUGGGUCAUGAUGUCGACCCAAACCUGUUUUUGUCGUGUCGAGUUCGGGUCGUGUCAAGAAUUUCCGCACCUAAUUUUAACCCAUUUAUGUGAAAAAGGGGUCAACUCGGGUUAUAUUUGAUUAAUAAUUGGUCAGUGGAGUAAACUUUUAAAUAAAUAUCAACAAGCCACAACAAUUUAAAAGUUGCAUACAACAUUAUACUCGGUUGUUCUUUAUUCAAGAACUUGGAUCACUAUCUAUAAUCAUAUCUAAUAAGUUAUUAUUUAAGAAAUUAAGAAGGGUCCCAAAAUGGUGUCGAUGCGGGGAAUUCAACCGACCCAACCCAUUUUUAAACCGCUCUAAAAUUUACCAGUUUUGACCCGCAUUUCGGGUUCAUCUUUUGUUGUAGCUAUCGAUGAGAGUAGUACGCAAGUCUCAUCCGGUGACCCAUAUAGAGAAAAUUCUUCAGAUGAAAAAAUUGAUAGAAGCGGAAGAGGUCAGCCCAAAGUAGAUAUAGCAAAAGUUUUUAGGCGAUGGACACAUGCCCUACAGCGUAUACAUAAACAGUCACUUCAUCUGGCAAAUGCAAAUGAUGGUGAAGGUCCAGAUCUUCUGAGAAGCGCAAAUGACGGUGGUACAAGUGGCCAUGCUGAAUCAUUAGCUGCUUAGUGAACAUCGACAACAUUUAGUUAUAUACAGGCAUGUUUAACCUUGUACUUCUCAAACUGAAAUAGUUUUGGUACACUCUUAUCAUGGUUUUCUAUCACCAUGUCGCCAAUUCUAUUUCCCCUUGCACCAACACCAUAUAAGGUUCUAAUAUUGCGCCCACUUCUCCCUCAAAUUCCAAAAUACGAAUCCAAAGUGUAGCGGUGGUGGUAGCCAACUGUGUUGUCGGCAAACAAAGGCGUCAUGGCUGGUCUUAUUGUUUGAGUUGAUAUUGUAUUUAAGGCGUGAUUUUUUGCAUUGUAUGUCAUGAUUUAUGAACAGUUUGGUUGUUUUUUAUAUUGUUAUGUAGGAAAAAUGGCUGGAAAGGGUGGGUAUGUUGGCUGUAAAAAACACCUGCAGCAGCUGACAAGAAAAAAGAUAAGAGAUGGAUGUCUCGCUCUUCUGUUAGUUGCAUUAUGUAAAACAAGCAGUGGCACCACAUUUUCAUUUUCAAGCUAUCUACAUGUUUUGAUUUUGUAUCCACUCUUCUAUGUUCCACAAGUAUCAUGUAACAACUUUUAUUUUGCAAUUCUAAUGUAGAUUGUGUAUUUUGCC